AUUGAACGCUUGCGGCAGGCCUAACACAUGCAAGUCGAACGAGUGGCGGACGGGUUAGUAAUGUUUGGGAAUCUACCUUAUGGAGGGGGAUAACUACGGGAAACUGUAGCUAAUACCGCGUACCAUCGGAUGUGCCCAGGUGGGCUUAGGUAGUUGGUGUGGUAAAGGCUCCCCAAGCCGACGAUCUCUAGCUGGUCUGAGAGGAUGACCAGCCACACUGGAACUGAGACACGGUCCAGACUCCUACGGGAGGCAGCAGUGGGGAAUAUUGCGCAAUGGGGGCAACCUGACGCAGCCAUGCCGCGUGAAUGAAGAAGGCCUUCGGGUUGUAAAGUUCUUUCGGUAGGGAGGCGUUAACUGCAGAAGAAGCACCGGCUAACUCCGUGCCAGCAGCCGCGGUAAUAC
rnacentral:rRNA from 1 species